GCAAAGACAAUCCAAGCCGGUUUCCCUUCCCAGUCCCAGUUGGACCUCGGUCCCCAGCUCCGCGGCUGCCCCGCUCACCAGCCCCAGCUGGUCUCCUUUGGGUCGCUUCAGGGGGUCGCCCGAACCUGCAGAGCCAAUGUCAGCCCCGCACCGUCAAGGCCUUGGGCAGUCCCGCUCCACUGCGCUCCGAGGUCUAGGUCUCACUAGCUCCCACCGACUUUGCACAACAGCCCUUCCGCGUCGCCGGGGCGACUGGGGUGGCGAGGCGCCAAGCUGCAGCCGGGGUUCACAGCACCCGACCCCUUCCUCCGCAUCUUCCUCGCCAGUUCCGUUCUCCCCUAGAUCCUGGCGACCCCGAGCCUCCUAGGUCCCGCCACAGCGACCACCCGGACUCACCGCGGGCGUCGCGCCGCCGCUGGGUCUGCGCGCUCCGAGGCGGAGCCUGGGCGCCCUCCCGCGUGAGAGCCGCCUCCUGCGCCCGCCCGCCCGCGGCCCCCGCCCGGCUCCUGCCAGCCCCUCCGCCAGCCGGCGCUGCCGGGACGGUCGGGACUUACCUCCCGGACAAGGUGACCCAGCCAGUGAGCCCAGGAGCCCGCCCGCGCGUCUCCGGAGCCAGUGAGCGUGCGGGGCGCGGGGCGGUGCGGCGCCCGCCUCUGCUCCUCAGCUCCCCAGCUCUCUCCUCCUCUGCCCUCCUCUUCUUUCCCUUCCUCUCCCCUCCGCGCCGCUCCCCGCCCUGCACUCGCCACCCGCGUCCCAGGCUGCCCCGAGCGUGCAGGAGCGCCGGGCUAGGGGCAGCGGCGGCAGCCCGGGGCUGCGGGGAGCUCGCUCGAGGCGACGAUGGGGCGGAGCCCGGCGCUCCAGCCCCCAGGGGGAAAAAAAAAAAAAAAAAAAGGUGCGGGGAGACUCCCGCGGCGCACGCCUGGCUGGCUGGUUGGGCCAGGGCCGUCCCGGGACGCGCCGCUUGGUUGGCCAAGCCUGGCGACACGCGUGCUGGAGGAGGUGGCCACGGGCUCCGAGGGAGAAUGAGCGAGGAGGAGAAGGGAAUGGCUCGGUGAGAAGGCGGCCGCCAACUUUGCCCCAGGCCUAUCGGGCCCCGCGGGUGACCACGUCAGGCGGUUGGCCUGGGGCCGCUGUCUGGGACUGUGAAGGCGACAGAGACUGGGGGAGGGGGGCAGCCGCUGGGUACUCAGUGGACAGGGAUUUGCAGCCUGGCUCUGAGAUGGUUCCCCUCGGUCCUAAAGGCCUCCCCAGGCUCUUGUUCGUUUUGAGGUUCGUAGGACCCACUUUAUAGGCCUGGCAUCUGUUCACGUCCUGACCAACCAGCUACCCAGGAGAAACCAGGUGCGGGCUCAGACUUUCAGACCCCCUGCCCAGCCCCAAACCGGUUUGUUUUUCUCACCAGGCAGCCUCUUGGCUGUUGGAAUUAAAAGGAGCUAGGGCUGUGGGGAUGGGUGGGUAGAGGGCAUAACUGUGGUGAGCAGAGUGAAUAGAGGGAAGUAGAGCCAAGGAAAGGCCACCUCCCAAGAUAGUAUCAAUUUCAAGUGUUGGGGGAUGGGGGAAAUAGUGUUUUCAGUGUGAAUUCCAUAGAGAAAGAACCAGGAAAGAAAGGUGUCAGAAAGGGGGUCGAAAGUGAUUUAGGAAAACAAUGUUAGCCCAUUUCUACCCCAGGGGCAGACCUGCCACAGUCUAGCCUUGCCAGCCUAGGCUCUGAUAAUCAAGGCUGGUUAUACCCCGAUGAAACCCUGCUUGGUGAGGAGCCCUGCCUCCUCCUGACCUAGUAACCAACGCUUUGCCCCCCUCAUCCCCUCAGAAAGCACUACUUCCACUGCCAGGCUGCCUCUGUUAGACUUUGCAAAGGGCAAGCAUUGCAGGUGGUGCCAGAACCACAGGUCCACCCUGUCUUGCCUUUGUGGGGGACUUGGCACUUGUGGAACAUCAGCCCCACAAAGAGAAUGCUAAAGUCAGAGUGGGGCUGUAAAAAAGCAAAUGGGUGGAGGAGCAGGUCAGCAGAACCAGGGGCAUCUGUGGUUUCCCUUUAUCAACUUGAACUGUGUUCCAUCUGCAACUCUGCAGCAUGGCAAAGCACAACUGGGGAUUCUUCCUCUAGAUCCCCAGAGCUGCAAGUCCCUGGUCUGCAACACUCAGAAAAGAGCAUCGUACAUCUCUCUCAUCUAGGAGAACUUUUCAAAUGGGAGGAAAAUGCCCCCCUUGCCCUUGCCUUAGUAAUGUUGCUAGUUGUUCCUGAAGUCCUUCCCUAAACAGAAAAUUCUCUCAUCUGAACCACUGGGCUGAGAAGACGUUGUUAGACUCAUUUGAGUUGGAGAAUCAUUAUUCCCAUUUAUCAGAUGAAGCAGCUGAGGUUUUUCUUUACAAAAGUUAACUAAGAUUUCUAUAGCUACAGAAUAUGCAGAAGUAGCCUGGAACUCAGGUUCCUGCCUUUCAGACAGUGAACUUUUGCUUACUGGUUUUUGGGUUGGGCUUUGGAGGACAGUUUUGUUUUGCUAAGAGAGCACCAGCCUGGGUUGCAGCUGUGACUUGCCUCUGACUCUAGGAUGUGGAAGUGGAGGGAAAAGCACAAAGGUUUUCAUUGCUGCAGGCUUUCAGCAGGGGCAACUGAUCUGCUAAGCCAGCAACAGGCAGUUCACCUCUGAGACACUGGAAUAGUCAGCGGGGCCUGCUGGAAUUGAGCCCGCCCUCUCUUACUCACCCACAUAGACUGGCUGCAUCCAGGAUAAUGUAUUUUGUCUUGUCAAGAAAUCCUGUCUAGGUACCAAAAAUGUCAACAGGUAGAAAAAUACAUUUUGUUGCUUCACUAAAGACACUGAAAACACUUUUUAAUAGAAACAUGUCUUUUUCCUGCAAAUCAACUAUUCCCUAAUUAUCAAGACAAAGGCAAAUUCUGGAGAAGCAGAGGAUGCCAAGGCAGCUGCUUGGAAGUGGCACCUGUAAGCCUGCAUCCCGUUGCUGCCCUCUCCUCUGUGUCUGUUCUCAAGACGGUGUGCAGAUGGAAGGGACAUGCAGGGUGGAGGCUGUAGGUUGGCACCCGCGACAGUCUCAUGGCAUAGAAACCACAGCAUGAUAUGGGGUGACCAGAGGCCAUGGUGGCAUCAUGCUGUGAGGAAGCUGCUGGCAGGCUGGCAGGCCUCCCCACACCUUCUAGAACUAGCAGCAGUUUGUGCUUAGACAGGGCAUUCUAAUCUCUGUCUUUCUCUGGAAUCUCGUCUGAUUAUUUCUGCUCCAGUGCUCUGUCGCUCCAGCCUCUCCAGAUCACCUCACUGCCCCCCGCCUCCCACUGCCCUUCUGACAAGUUCAAGGAGACAAGAAAAGGAAAAGUCAGGGUCUUUCAGGUGGCCUUAUCUCUGCUACCCCCUGCCCCCAGUGGCACAAUAAGCUAAUCCUCCCAGCUGAGUGGAUGGGAAGUUUAAAGAAGCAAGACCCACAAAGCUUGUUUGCCUGAGAAACAAAGGAUGUUCACAUCUUUCCUUGACACAGUCUGCAGACCCCUGAGCUCUCACUGUCACAGAAAUAGCUGCUAGCCAAAACCAAAAUAGUAACAGGAGAGUCACCAGUGUCUUCAGAUGCAAAUGCCAACGAUAACUUGCACUAUAACUUAAAAGGAAGGAUCUGGUGGGGAUCCCCUCACAGCUUAGCCAUAUCCUCCUUGAGGGGGCAAGAGGGGCUUGAAGGGCCACAUGGUGGACAGAAGCAGGGCCAGGCCAGAUGCUAUCUUACCUCCACCUGCUGCAGAGUGACCUUGGAUGAGUCAGUUCUUUCCCUUCUUUCCCUUCUGUGUUGUGAAGAGUGAGUGAAUCUGAGGAUGUAAGACUAGUACAAGAGCCCACAAUAUACAGUUGAGAACAUCUGCAGUUUCUGGGAAUGGCUGGGUGGUGACAGGGGAGUCUCUGCCUUCUCCAAGGAACCCAGAGCCUCCCUGUCCACCAGCACUUAGCAGAGGCCACUCAUACCUGUUGUCUUUGCUCCUCAGGGGUGGCCCCUUUCACUGGUAUCAUUGACCCUGUUUGAAGGGGAUAUCUGGCUCCUGGUUGCUGCCUUGCUGUGCAAGAAGCUUUGCUCUGAACCACACUCCAAAACCUGUUUUUGCCCCUGACUCUUCUUGACUUUUACUUUCCUAGCUACUGACCUAGUUAUUUACUUCCAUUAUCCUUGUUGGGAAGUCUUUGGACUUAACAUCGUUUUCCCUGUUUCAGACCUCAGCUUCUCCCAGCCCUAUAUCUGAUGCUGGACACCAGCUGUCCUGCCUUGGCCAACCACUCUCAUAGCACAAUCUGUGUGAGCAGGGGAGGGGGCAGCACUCAGACCUCCCUGUGGCCCACAGGACCCAGAGUUGGGGGUGCCAAAAGUCCCAUUUGCAAAGAGGCAGAGACGGUAUUGCAUCCAGGCCUCCAGACCAUGGGUUUUCUCCCAUCCUCAGCUGUAGUCCAGAGGUGGCCUGCACGUGUACCCAUUCACCUUGGAAAGCUGUGCUUAAGACUGAAAAUUCCCCACAGUUGAUGCCUACUCUUGCACCCAGUGAGCUGAUUGGAUGGGUGAUAAUGUGCCUGACCUGCUAUAUGCCAUUUGUUUACUGCUCACGGGGCAGGGCUCGGGGUAUAAAUCAGGGCACAGUGUCAGAUUCUGUAUGCCAGAUCCCUGGCCUGAGUUCUGAGAUUUCCAUACCUCUCCUCCAUGCUCAUUUGUCACUCCUAUCAAAGAAAGCUCCAUUCAUUUUUACGAAAACACGAAGAAAGAAAAAAUACAUAUCAGAGCAGGCUGAGGAACAAAGUGCCUUGCAAGCGUGGCUUACAAAGUGGAGACUGGAGAUUCAAGGAAGGAAACCAGCAGCAAAGCCUGCUUUUGCUCCACAUUCAGGAAGUGGUGACUUGAUCUGUUUCUCAGUUUCUGUAUCUGCAAAAUGGAGAUGCUAAUUUACAGAUUUUAGCUCACAUCCAAGGACGUCGGGAGGAUGAAUGAACUUGCAUUUCCACACAGCACUGAUGUGAUGGAAGGUGCUAUGUCAAUAGCUGGAAGAAAUAUAAGUAGGGUAUGAACCAGAUAUUCAGGAUGCUUGGGUGUCCCUUGAUGAUACUGUAUUGAAUCAAAAUAAAUUCUGCUCUAACAGAUGAGUUUUUUAAGCAACGAACGCCACCUUUCCACCAGGCAUGGGCAUGCAUUCACAUUUAAAGAGCCCUCCUAGUUGUUCUGUGAUUUGUUCCCACCUCUAAGUGUGUCUGUGCCCACUGAUGGCAUCUGGCAGAAGCCUAGCAAAGCAAGGACCACAGCUGCUGACAUUGCUCACACAAUGGAGGGGAAUGAGGUCCACAGAGGUUAAAUAAUGUCCUGAGGUCACUCAGCUGGCAAAGGUCAUGAUCUGGAGCAUCCUGAUAUCAGGCCCAUGCUUGGAAGGAUAAAAGUGCUUCCACUCCCCUCACUCAGGGCCCAGGGUGGGUGUUAAAGUUCUGCUAUUCCUGUUUUUGUUGUAGCCUUGUCUUCAUGUACUUCUAUUCCCAAAUAUGCAUCCUUCAGAGAUGCUCAAAAAUGUCUUUGUUGGGGCACCUGGGUGGCUCAGUCUGUUGAGCAUCCAAUUCUUGGUUUCAGCUCAGGUCAUGAUCUCACCGUUUUGUGGGUUCAAACCCCACAUGGGGUUCUGAACUGGCAGGGUAGAGCCUGCUUGGGAUUCUUUCUUGCUCUCUGCCCUCCACUACUCACACUCUUUUUGUCUGUCUCAAAAUAAAUGAAUAAACUUAAAAAAAAGAAAUGUCUUUGUGGUCAUGCUUUGUAUGUUCACAGCCAAUCACUUCAGAGGGACCCCGUGUCAC